UGGCUGUAGCUAUAUGGAUCAAACGGAUGAGAAGUUUACUGGCCGGUUGUUGUUUGAGGUUCUUAAAGAAUCUCUCCCCAUCGACAAAUCUGCUUACCGAACUUCUUACAUAU